rnacentral:rRNA from 1 species
GACGAACGCUGGCGGCGUGCUUAACACAUGCAAGUCGAACGGAAAGACCCUGCUUUUGUGCGGUUCUCGAUUGGCGAACGGGUGAGUAACACGCGAGUAUCCCGCCCUUGUCUUUCGGAUAACUUCAGGAAACUGCGGCGAUUACCCGAUAGGAGCUACUGCUCCAUGGUGGGCGUUGGAAAGUUUCGGCGGUUUGGGAUAGUAUGGCUGGUUAUCCGCUUGUUGGUGUGGUAGGGGCGUACCAAGGCUUUGACGGGUAGCCGGCCUGGGAGGGUGAACGGGCACCAUGGGACUAAGAGACGGACCAGACGCCAACGGGAGGCAGCAGUGGGGAGUAUGGCGGAGUGGGCGCAAGCCAGAUGCAGCAACGCUCCGUGCGUGAUGACGGCCUUCGGGUUGUAAACCGAUUUCGCCUGUGACGAAGCGUGAUUGACGGUAAUGGGUAAAGAAGCACCGGCUAACUACGUG